UCCGAGUUGACCCCGGCAGUCUCCUACGAGUCCCCACCAUUACGUGCUGGCAACAUAGGACGAGGGUUGCGCUCGUUGCGGGACUUAACCCAACAUCUCACGACACGAGCUGACGACAACCAUGCACCACCUGUAACCGAGUGUCCAAAGAGUUCCACAUUUCUGCGGCGUUCUCGGUUAUGUCAAGCCUUGGUAAGGUUCUUCGCGUUGCAUCGAAUUAAUCCGCAUGCUCCGCCGCUUGUGCGGGCUCUCGUCAAUUCCUUUGAGUUUUAGCCUUGCGGCCGUACUCCCCAGGCGGGGCACUUAAUGCGUUAGCUACGGCACGGAACCCGUUGAUAAGGCUCCACACCUAGUGCCUAACGUUUACGGCGUGGACUAU
rnacentral:misc_RNA from 1 species